rnacentral:misc_RNA from 1 species
GCUGCAUCUCCGAUGCAGUGAACCGGCUGUCGGCUCCCUUGUUCCUGCGAUUGAGGCGCACGGCCGAGCCGGGUUCGACUUCUUGCGACGGCAUUUCAAUCUUCAGGAAUUUGCCUUUGACCACGGCNNNNUGAUGCCGAUGAAUUCCUGAGACCGGAAAUCGGGCUGCGACUGGAUCCGUUCCAGCAGGCGCUGCUGCUCGUCGGUUGACUUGAUCUUGUAGGAAUCUCGCCGCCA